CCUACGGGAGGCAGCAGUGGGGAAUAUUGGACAAUGGGCGAAAGCCUGAUCCAGCAAUGCCGCGUGAGUGAAGAAGGCCUUCGGGUUGUAAAGCUCUUUUACCCGGGAAGAUAAUGACUGUACCGGGAGAAUAAGCCCCGGCUAACUCCGUGCCAGCAGCCGCGGUAAUACGGAGGGGGCUAGCGUUGUUCGGAAUUACUGGGCGUAAAGCGUACGUAGGCGGCUUUUUAAGUCAGAGGUGAAAUCCCACGACUCAAUCGUGGAACUGCCUUUGAGACUGGAUCGCUUGAAGAUGGGAGAGGUAAGUGGAAUUCCGAGUGUAGAGGUGAAAUUCGUAGAUAUUCGGAAGAACACCAGUGGCGAAGGCGGCUUACUGGACCAUUCUUGACGCUGAGGUACGAAAGCGUGGGGAGCAAACAGGAUUAGAUACCCCAGUAGUC
rnacentral:rRNA from 1 species